GCCCAGACUCCUACGGGAGGCAGCAGUGGGGAAUAUUGCACAAUGGGGGAAACCCUGAUGCAGCGACGCCGCGUGAGCGAUGAAGUAUUUCGGUAUGUAAAGCUCUAUCAGCAGGGAAGAAAAUGACGGUACCUGACUAAGAAGCCCCGGCUAACUACGUGCCAGCAGCCGCGGUAAUACGUAGGGGGCAAGCGUUAUCCGGAUUUACUGGGUGUAAAGGGAGCGUAGACGGCUGUGCAAGCCAGAUGUGAAAGCCCGGGGCUCAACCCCGGGACUGCAUUUGGAACUGUGUGGCUGGAGUGUCGGAGAGGCAGGCGGAAUUCCUAGUGUAGCGGUGAAAUGCGUAGAUAUUAGGAGGAACACCAGUGGCGAAGGCGGCCUGCUGGACGAUGACUGACGUUGAGGCUCGAAAGCGUGGGGAGCAAACAGGAUUAGAUACCCUAGUA
rnacentral:rRNA from 1 species